UGGGGAAUAUUGCACAAUGGGCGCAAGCCUGAUGCAGCCAUGCCGCGUGUAUGAAGAAGGCCUUCGGGUUGUAAAGUACUUUCAGCGGGGAGGCAGGCGAUAAGGUUAAUAACCUUGUCGAUUGACGUUACCCGCAGAAGAAGCACAGGCUAACUCCGUGCCAGCAGCCGCGGUAAUACGGAGGGUGCAAGCGUUAAUCGGAAUUACUGGGCGUAAAGCGCACGCAGGCGGUCUGUCAAGUCGGAUGUGAAAUCCCCGGGCUCAACCUGGGAACUGCAUUCGAAACUGGCAGGCUAGAGUCUUGUAGAUGGGGGUAGAAUUCCAGGUGUAGCGGUGAAAUGCGUAGAGAUCUGGAGGAAUACCGGUGGCGAAGGCGGCCCCCUGGACAAAGACUGACGCUCAGGUGCGAAAGCGUGGGGAGCAAACA
rnacentral:rRNA from 1 species